rnacentral:rRNA from 1 species
UGGGGAAUUUUGGACAAUGGGCGCAAGCCUGAUCCAGCCAUGCCGCGUGCGGGAAGAAGGCCCUUCGGGUUGUAAACCGCUUUUGUCAGGGAAGAAAUCUUCUGAGUUAAUACCUCGGGAGGAUGACGGUACCUGAAGAAUAAGCACCGGCUAACUACGUGCCAGCAGCCGCGGUAAUACGUAGGGUGCAAGCGUUAAUCGGAAUUACUGGGCGUAAAGCGUGCGCAGGCGGUUUUGUAAGACAGAGGUGAAAUCCCCGGGCUCAACCUGGGAACUGCCUUUGUGACUGCAAGGCUUGAGUGCGGCAGAGGGGGGAUGGAAUUCCGCGUGUAGCAGUGAAAUGCGUAGAUAUGCGGAGGAACACCGAUGGCGAAGGCCAAUCCCCUGGGCCUGCACUGACGCUCAUGCACGAAAGCGUGGGGGAGCAAAACCAGGAUUAGAUACCCUGGUAGUCCACGCCCUAAAACGAUGUCAACUGGUUGUUGGGAAGGUUCCUUCUCAGUAACGUAGCUAACGCGUGAAGUUG